UACGUAGGGUGCGAGCGUUGUCCGGAAUUACUGGGCGUAAAGAGCUCGUAGGUGGUUUGUCGCGUUGUUCGUGAAAUCUCACGGCUUAACUGUGAGCGUGCGGGCGAGUACGGGCAGACUGGAGUACUGCAGGGGAGACUGGAAUUCCUGGUGUAGCGGUGGAAUGCGCAGAUAUCAGGAGGAACACCGGUGGCGAAGGCGGCUCUCUGGGACGGUACUGACGCUGAGACGCGAAAGCGUGGGGAGCGAACAGG
rnacentral:rRNA from 1 species